AUUGAACGCUGGCGGCAGGCCUAACACAUGCAAGUCGAGCGGCAGCGGGAAAGUAGCUUGCUACUUUUGCCGGCGAGCGGCGGACGGGUGAGUAAUGCCUGGGGAUCUGCCCAGUCGAGGGGGAUAACUACUGGAAACGGUAGCUAAUACCGCAUACGCCCUACGGGGGAAAGCGUGGGACCUUCGGGCCUUGCGCGAGUGGAUGAACCCAGGUGGGAUGAGCUAGUUGGUGAGGUAAUGGAUCACCAAGGCGACGAUCCCUAGCUGGUCUGAGAGGAUGAUCAGCCACACUGGAACUGAGACACGGUCCAGACUCCUACGGGAGGCAGCAGUGGGGAAUAUUGCACAAUGGGGGAAACCCUGAUGCAGCCAUGCCGCGUGUGUGAAGAAGGCCUUCGGGUUGUAAAGCACUUUCAGCGAGGAGGAAAGGUUGGUAGCUAAUAACUGCCAGCUGUGACGUUACUCGCAGAAGAAGCACCGGCUAACUCCGUGCCAGCAGCCGCCGUAAAAC
rnacentral:rRNA from 1 species